UACGGGAGUGGCAAGCGUUAUCCGGAAUUAUUGGGCGUAAAGCGUCCGCAGGCGGUCUUGUAAGUCUGUUGUUAAAGCGUGGAGCUUAACUCCAUUUGAGCAAUGGAAACUGCAAGACUAGAGUGUGGUAGGGGCAGAGGGAAUUCCCGGUGUAGCGGUGAAAUGCGUAGAUAUCGGGAAGAACACCAGUGGCGAAGGCGCUCUGCUGGGCCAUAACUGACGCUCAUGGACGAAAGCCAGGGGAGCGAAAGGGAUUAGAUACCCCUGUAGUCCUGGCCGUAAACGAUGAACACUAGGUGUCGGGGGAAUCGACCCCCUCGGUGUCGUAGCCAACGCGUUAAGUGUUCCGCCUGGGGAGUACGCACGCAAGUGUGAAACUCAAAGGAAUUGACGGGGGCCCGCACAAGCGGUGGAGUAUGUGGUUUAAUUCGAUGCAACGCGAAGAACCUUACCAGGGUUUGACAUCCUGCGAAUCUUUUGGAAACGAGAGAGUGCCUUCGGGAACGCAGUGACAGGUGGUGCAUGGCUGUCGUCAGCUCGUGUCGUGAGAUGUUGGGUUAAGUCCCGCAACGAGCGCAACCCACGUCGUUAGUUGCCAGCAUUUAGUUGGGCACUCUAGCGAGACCGCCGGUGAUAAACCGGAGGAAGGUGUGGAUGACGUCAAGUCAUCAUGCCCCUUACAUCCUGGGCUACACACGUACUACAAUGCUACGGACAAAGGGCAGCAAACUCGCGAGAGCUAGCAAAUCCCAUAAACCGUGGCUCAGUUCAGAUCGUAGGCUGCAACUCGCCUACGUGAAGGAGGAAUCGCUAGUAAUCGCAGGUCAGCAUACUGCGGUGAAUACGUUCCCGGGCCU
rnacentral:rRNA from 1 species